UCAAGGGCAAUUAAGUUGCUGUAACUAACUGCAGUGUACAUAUAUGUUGCAGGGACAUGCUCAUUAGCUUGGCUAUUACAAAUUACAUGUGGCUCAUGUCCAAUUUGUCAGAAAACAGUCACAUUUUGUGAACCGAUGAUGCGUCUGACGCAUGGCUGUCCGCCAGAUCUCAUAAAUCUUCUCUCAGUCUUUACGGUGGAUGAAUUUUAAGACCAAUCAGAGGCAGUUGCCAAGCAAGAAUGAACCGGCCAAUCAGCAUUUUUCUGCCAAUGUUAGUUGACGUAUGUCGUCAUUGGUUGCGACGUGCCUCGUAAUUGGCUAUGACCUGCUGGGAGGAGCCAGAGAAACGGAGAAACGAAGUAGGAAAACAGAUUUAAACCAACGCUGAAACAGUUGCCUCUGUUUGCAAGUACUGUGAGAAAACGCCGUUGCCUGAUACGUCUGAAUGUUAAAACAAACUGGAGCUGCUUUUUUGUCGAACACGAGUGAGACUGGACGCUGAACACACCUGCAGUGCAAAGGUUUGCUGGUUCAGAUGCUGCAGCCUGGACAGAGACACCAGCUCUCACCUGACAAACCAAACAGGUGUCGCCACUUUGUCCACAAUCGCAUUCUCUUUGUACAAUGAGGAAGUUCUUUGAGACCAGGACAGAGGCCUCCAGGAUUCAAACUUAAACCAUUAAAGCACAGAGAGAAGAGAGAGACGUGAAGACAUUUCCAGAAGGUCUUCAGCUGCUGUCGUCGUCUUCUCCUGCUGUGUUAUCAGAAACACGUUAAUCACUUUUUAUGCCUUAUUGUACUAUAACAUGUGGCUUAUGACAAAAUAUCUUAAAGCAGCAAUCUUACAGUUGCACACGCACCUCUACAUGGUGUUUGCGGGUUAGGUUAGAUUUUGAAACUUCAUAACUACUCCCCCUUCUGCAGGAAGGACAUCUCAUAUCAACACUACCAUUAUUGUGUGCAAUAUUACUAAUAUUGUUAAUAUAUAUUUCAUUCAUUAUCAUGUGCAAUUUACAUCUCAUUUUUACUGACAGUGUUUUGUAUGGUAAAUCUGUUGUUUAUACAUUGUAUAAAUAUUUGUACUUGUCUUGUUCUUUACGGUUUUGUAGUAAUGUCUGGCAAAAGAAUUUCCUUCGGGAUUAAUACAGUUCUGUCUUAUCUUGUGUUCAUUAUUUCAUUUUGGUAUUUUGCCAUUUCAAACAGUGCAAUCAGUAUAUAAUUUUUACAUAUUGUUAUACAUUAUAUCUUGUCUUGUUUACCUUAUUCAUUUAUCUAUUUUUGCUGCUGCAACACUGACUUAUUUUACUCUUACAA